GAUGAACGCUGGCGGCGUGCUUAACACAUGCAAGUCGAACGAUGAAGCCCAGCUUGCUGGGUGGAUUAGUGGCGAACGGGUGAGUAACACGUGAGUACCCUGCCCUUAACUCUGGGAUAAGCCUGGGAAACUGGGUCUAAUACCGGAUAGGAGCGUCCACCGCAUGGUGGGUGUUGGAAAGAUUUAUCGGUUUUGGAUGGACUCGCGGCCUAUCAGCUUGUUGGUGAGGUAAUGGCUCACCAAGGCGACGACGGGUAGCCGGCCUGAGAGGGUGACCGGCCACACUGGGACUGAGACACGGCCCAGACUCCUACGGGAGGCAGCAGUGGGGAAUAUUGCACAAUGGGCGCAAGCCUGAUGCAGCGACGCCGCGUGAGGGAUGACGGCCUUCGGGUUGUAAACCUCUUUCAGUAGGGAAGAAGCGAAAGUGACGGUACCUGCAGAAGAAGCACCGGCUAACUACGUG
rnacentral:rRNA from 1 species